GAUGAACGCUGACAGAAUGCUUAACACAUGCAAGUCUACUUGAACUUCGGUUUGGGUGGCGGACGGGUGAGUAACGCGUAAAGAACUUGCCUCACAGAUAGGGACAACAUUUGGAAACAAAUGCUAAUACCUGAUAUUAUGAUUUUAGGGCAUCCUAGAAUUAUGAAAGCUAUAUGCACUGUGAGAGAGCUUUGCGUCCCAUUAGCUAGUUGGAGAGGUAACGGCUCACCAAGGCGAUGAUGGGUAGCCGGCCUGAGAGGGUGAUCGGCCACAAGGGGACUGAGACACGGCCCUUACUCCUACGGGAGGCAGCAGUGGGGAAUAUUGGACAAUGGACCAAGAGUCUGAUCCAGCAAUUCUGUGUGCACGAUGAAGUUUUUCGGAAUGUAAAGUGCUUUCAGUUGGGAAGAAAAAAUGACGGUACCAACAGAAGAAGUGACGGCUAAAUACGUG
rnacentral:rRNA from 1 species